GGCCUUUUCAAAUCUUGCUCGGCAUCUGAUAUCAUAAAAUAUGUUACUUACAGACUAGAAGAAGAUAGUGCCAUACUUUGUCAACAACGGCAAAAGUCAGAAAGAUUGAAUAUUCAGUUUGUUUAUGUGUAUGAUUGUGAUAGAUUAACUUUUCAAGCAGUUACCAACAAAACUAAUAUUCAAAUAUGUUUGCAAAGUGCAGGCACUUUUCAAGAUAAUUUCCCAGAAUUUGUGAAAGCAAUUUACGUAAUCAACG